CGCCGACUAUGCAGCUGUUCCUGCCUACGCCCUGAACUAGUGCGUGGGCCAUCCUCAGGGUCUGGGCCCGCGGGGCCCUGGGGGUGUGGACGUAGCGGGCUAGCCUGGGUGGCGCGCCUCCCGCCUGCCAGGUGACAUCAAAGGAGGCUGGGGCUGAGCGAUCCUGCCCGUGGGAGCGCAAGGCCCGAGAUGAAAUACACGGGCUAAGCUUGUAGAAGCCGAGCUGAGGGUGUUUCCGGACGCGGGUUCGAAUCCCGCCACCUCCACCA
rnacentral:tmRNA from 1 species